rnacentral:rRNA from 1 species
GCAGGUAUUAGACCCGAAACCGGGUGACCUAUCCAUGAGCAGGCUGAAGCGGUGGUAAGACACCGUGGAGGGCCGCACCCACGUCUGUUGAAAAAGCCGGGGAUGACUUGUGGAUAGCGGAGAAAUUCCAAUCGAACUCGGAGAUAGCUGGUUCUCCCCGAAAUAGCUUUAGGGCUAGCGUUAUUUUAGAUUACCGGAGGUAAAGCACUGAAUGGUCUAGGGGCCGCGAGGUUACCAAAGCCUAUCAAACUCUGAAUGCCGGAUAAUUGAUGAAUAGCAGUCAGACUGUGUGAGAUAAGUCUCAUAGUCAAAAGGGAAACAGCCCAGAUCUACAGCUAAGGUCCCAAAUGAACACUAAGUGGAAAACGAUGUGGAAUUGCGAAAACAACCAGGAUGUUGGCUUAGAAGCAGCCACUCAUUAAAAGAGUGCGUAAUAGCUCACUGGUCGAGUGGUUUUGCGCAGAAAAUGUAACGGGGCUAAGUGUUCAACCGAAGCUUAGGCAUUGCAGUAAUGCAUUGGGUAGGGGAGCGUCGUAUGCGGGGCGAAGUCAGAGCGGAAGCACUGGUGGACUGCAUACGAGUGAGAAUGCCGGAAUAAGUAGCGAGAAUUAUGUGAGAAUCAUAAUGGCCGAAAAUCUAAGGUUUCCUGGGGAAGGUUCGUCCGCCCAGGGUUAGUCGGGAGCUAAGCUCAGGCCGAAAGGCGUAGGCGAUGCACAUACGGUAGAAAUUCCGUAACCACCGAACUUUAAGCUAGAGGGACGCUUUCUUUAAGGUUAUCCCGGGCGAUGGUUGCCCCGGGCGUAAGGGACCGAAAUUUAGUAGGGAAGUAACUGGCGAGAGAGACGAGAAAAGCUCUAGUGUAUACUAAGGUGCCCGUACCGCAAACCGACACAGGUAGAAGGGAUGAGUAUUCUAAGGCCAACGGGAGAAGGGUUGUUAAGGAACUCGGCAAGUUGGCCCCGUAACUUCGGGAUAAGGGGUGCUGCGAGAGCAGCCGCAGUGAAAAGGCCCAAGCGACUGUUUAGCAAAAACACAGGUCUCUGCUAAAUCGAAAGAUGACGUAUAGGGGCUGACGCCUGCCCGGUGCUGGAAGGUUAAGGGGAGUGCUUAGCGCAAGCGAAGGUGCGAACUUAAGCCCCAGUAAACGGCGGCCGUAACUAUAACGGUCCUAAGGUAGCGAAAUUCCUUGUCAGGUAAGUUCUGACCCGCACGAAUGGCGUAACGAUUUGGGCACUGUCUCAACAGCCCGCCCGGCGAAAUUGUAGUACCGGUGAAGAUGCCGGUUACCCGCAACUAGACGGAAAGACCCCAUGGAGCUUUACUGUAGCUUGAUAUUGGACUUCGGUAUUCCAUGUACAGGAUAGGUGGGAGGCUAGGAAGCGAGCGCGCCAGCGUUCGUGGAGCC